AGCAUAUCAAUAAGCGGAGGAAAAGAAACCAACAGGGAUUGCCUUAGUAACGGCGAGUGAAGCGGCAACAGCUCAAAUUUGAAAGCUGGCUCCUUUGGAGUCCGCGUUGUAAUUUGUAGAGGAUGAUUCGGCAAGGGCUCCCGCCUAAGUCUCCUGGAACGGAGCGUCAUAGAGGGUGAGAAUCCCGUAUGCGGUGGGCUGCCUAAGCCAUGUGAAUCUCCUUCGACGAGUCGAGUUGUUUGGGAAUGCAGCUCUAAAUGGGAGGUAAAUUUCUUCUAAAGCUAAAUACCGGCCAGAGACCGAUAGCGCACAAGUAGAGUGAUCGAAAGAUGAAAAGCACUUUGGAAAGAGAGUUAAAAAGUACGUGAAAUUGUUGAAAGGGAAGCGCUUGCAGCCAGACUUGUCCGCAGUUGCUCAGCCGGUCUCCUGACCGGUGUACUCUUCUGCGGCCAGGCCAGCAUCAGUUCGGGCGGUCGGAUAAAGACCUCGGGAAUGUAGCUCCUCUCGGGGAGUGUUAUAGCCCGGGGUGGAAUGCGGCCAGCCUGGACUGAGGAUCUCGCUUCGGCUAGGAUGCUGGCGUAAUGGCUGUAAGCGGCCCGUCUUGAAACACGGACCAAGGAGUCUAACAUCUAUGCGAGUGUUUGGGUGUCAAACCCAUGCGCGUAAUGAAAGUGAACGGAGGUGGGAACCCUCACGGGUGCACCAUCGACCGAUCCUGAUGUCUUCGGAUGGAUUUGAGUAAGAGCAUAGCUGUUGGGACCCGAAAGAUGGUGAACUAUGCCUGAAUAGGGUGAAGCCAGAGGAAACUCUGGUGGAGGCUCGCAGCGGUUCUGACGUGCAAAUCGAUCGUCAAAUUUGGGUAUAGGGGCGAAAGACUAAUCGAACCAUCUAGUAGCUGGUUCCUGCCGAG
rnacentral:rRNA from 1 species